rnacentral:lncRNA from 1 species
AGCAAAUGGUGCCGGAUUGCCUCUUUGUCACUCAGGGAAGCCAUUUGAUCUUUGGACUCAGGAGAGAGAAAUGUUCCCAGAGAUACCUUCACCUGCUCGUUGUGGGAGGACACCUGGAAAGACACCUGCAGCAUAACAAGAUCUUUGUUACCACCAACAUGGGUCAGCCUCUUCCGCAGGAAAUAAAGAGUGAUUAAUGUUGUGUGGUAGAAGAGAAGAGAAGUCUGGAAUGUGGCCUUACCUCAGGAAUAUACUCAGUUUUAGGGAAACUGAUCCAGUGUCUGAUCUAAGGAUCACAUUUGAAGAGAAGCAGAAUGAGAGCUGGGCAAAGUUGGAAAAUGGAGCCACAGAAAUAUUGACCCAGUACCACCAGGCUGAGUGCUUCUUUCUAGUAUGUUCUUUAUACACCAGACCUCUGCCGAAUAAUGGAGUUCCAGAGCUGGAAGAGAUCCUCAGAUGUCAUGAAGUCAUCCACUGCCUCCCAGCAAGUUUCAUUUGGAUGGUCUGUUCAGAUUGUCUGUUCCCAGUUGUGGGCUGGGCAAGGAGCAUCCACAGGCGAGUCUUGUGGGGAAGGCAGGUCCAGCCUGAGGAGAAUAUCAGCGGGUAUUUGUGUUGAGAGGAUCAUAAAGUGA